UCCAGUGGUAAAUACAGUGGUAAAUAUGUUUUCCAGUGGUAAAUACAGUGGUGAAUAUGUUUUAGUGGUUAAUACAGUGGUAAAUAUGUUUUACAGUGGAGAAUAUGUUUUCCAGUGGUGAAUACAGUGGUGAAUAUGUUUUACAGUGGUAAAUACAGUGGUGAAUAUGUUUUACAGUGGUAAAUAUGUUUUACAAUGGUAAAUACAGUGGUGAAUAUGUUUUAGUGGUGAAUAUGUUUUACAGUGGUGAAUAUGUUUUAGUGGUGAAUAUGUUUUACAGUGGUGAAUAUGUUUUAGUGGUGAAUAUGUUUUAGUGGUGAAUAUGUUUAACAGUGGUGAAUAUGUUUUA
rnacentral:lncRNA from 13 species